UGGCUACACUCUUUUUACUUACCCUCAAAGCCAAGCAUUCAAUUAACUCAUCAGCUACCACUGGUCAGCCACCAACUUCGUUCUUUUUUUAAAGCUUUCAUGAAAAUAAAUCAAAGGAAUUGUGAAAAACGUAGUCAGAAGAAGCCCCAUCUAGGAUAGAACUUAAAAUUGAUUUCCAAUGAAAUCAUGGCUGGCAUGACAAGGAGGGUAGUAAGGGAUUACGUCUCUGUGACUGACUCAUGUGUUUUGCUGUUCUUUGAAAUCAAGAGCAUUGAUUUUUUUAUAGUUUUACUUGGGUUUUCUUCCAGCAUCCUGCGAUUCCCCAGGGCUCAGAAAGAUACAAUGCUUGACACACAGGGAAAUUGCUGAAAGGUCAGUGUGCUCAGUACACAUUGGCAGCAUCUGUGCUGCUGCUAUAUUUGUGAAGAUCCAAGCAAAUUCAAGGAAGAAAAUUAUAUUUGAAGACCAUUUUACCUUAAGUUUUUCAGCCUCCUGAAAAAUAUCUCUCAUUUCUAACCUUUAUUUAUAUAUUUGUGCACAGAUAGUCCACACAAGUUAAAACAGGCUGGCAUCUGAGUUUUUACACAGUUAGUGUAGCAAACUCACUCUCAAGUACAAGCCCAGCUUUUCCCUCUAAAUUAGUGACACCGUCCAGAUCCACAUGUACAAACAUCACAAGAACACAGACUGGCACUGACACCCAGCAGAGUCUGGCCAGCUCUGUGUCACCAGCUUGUCAGCAGCAUUUACUGGCACUGGCCAUGGCAAACCCAGCUUGUAUCCCAACACUGACUGAUCUUUUCUUGAUCUUUUCCCCAGCCUUGCAGUUAAGCCCCAGAGCAAAAGGUGGCUCAGAAACCAAAUGUGGAAUAAUUUCUAAAGUCAAUCUGAAACAAGUCAUGGCCUUAGCAUUGACUGAACAUAUAUCCCAAUCUAACCUCUGCCCUUUCACAGUGAGAUAUCCUUGUCUGCCACUGACCUGACAGAAGAACAUCUUUGUCUUCCUUGCAGACACCGUACUUUGCCCUGGAACUCUGUGAAUUCAAGCCCCAGUUUGAGCUCAAGCCUUUUCACCCCACUUCUUUUCCCCAGAGAGGGUUUUGCCCCAUUUUUCUUCCAGGCCAGCUAGAAAUUAGAAUGUCGUAGAGUUUGGAUUACUUGGUAGGUUUGCAUAAAUCAUAGUUUUACUCAGUGUAGCUUCUCACCUUCAUCCCAGACAAAGCUGUUCAUAACCUAAAAACUGCUUUAGGAUCAACUUUCUGCCUGAAUUCUGAAAAGCUUCCCCCGUAACCUGCAAUGAAUUCAAGCUUUGCCUUUUUUUCUUUUAUGCCUAGAGGUCAAAUCCUACUUUAUUCACAUGUUACCCAGUGAUCCAACCUCCUAUUUCAGAGCUUAUUUCCCAAUGACACUGGUUCACAUCAACUCUCAGCUCAGUUUAACAGGCCCAUUUAAUUGUUAUAUGAUUUUAUAAAUUUACACAAAAAACCUCCAGUUCCAUGCAUAACUAUUUACAUCCAGAAGGCUACAUAGCCUUAAUUUGGAAACAAAUAUACAGCCAUGAGCACCAGCCUUUCAUAUCUGUCUACCUUGCUAAAAACUGAGUCUUUUAUUAAGGUGGCGGUGCCAAGAGAACUUUGUUAAGAUGCUCAGAACUUGACAAGAAUCAGAUAUUUUAUUGGAAUUUCAACGAAAAUUACCUUAUUUUUCCUGUAGUAGGGAUACAGUGAUGUUUUAGACAUGACACAAUGUGUGCUAUGCACAUGUACUGUCUCAUAUUACUCUGGAUGCCACGUUUCCACUUACAUUAUAGUCUCAGAAGACAUUAUUGACUAACUUAAGAGUAAUGAUUGGAGCGGUUUUGUGUGGCAAGACUAUUACAAUCUGAUGACAAAUUGACCUAUUUUGUUUUAUUUUAUUCCUACAUCUAAGUAGACUAAAUUAUAUCAAAGAGUAAUUGGUAAUAGCUGAAAAUGUAAUCUGUUAGCUGCAGCAGUGAGACACAUAAUCAAACGAGGAAAGAGAUGAGGCAGCCUCUGCCUAUCUUUGGAAAUGUGAAUUUGCAUAUGACACUUAGACACCCGUGGAGCCAAACAGAAAAGGUUUAAAUUAGCAUGAUCAUCUCUGGAUUUAAACUUAUAGGUCACACUCGCAGUAACACCUCACCAGGCUACCAGAAAUCAGCCUGUUAGAGAAGCGCUUCUUUACCUGGAGCACAAGGUCACUCCAGAAGAAUAGAAGGACACUACAGAAGGACUACACACAGAUGAACUUCAGGACAAUUUUCACACCUUUCUGAACAUGACAGUUAGGGAGAAUUCAGCUGGGAGCCUAUCCUGAAAGGGAUACCCUGCCAUGCAUCUUCAGUAAACUCCUCACAGGAAAAGGUGGGCUGGUCAGAGGCAAAGAGCAGAGAGCCUCAGUCACACAAGUGGUCACAGAUUGUAAGUGAUACCUGCAGUUUUACCAGAAGCUCUCAGAGAAGUCUGCAGGCAGGAGCCAGGCAUGUAAACACAGGCGUGCAAAAUCAGUCUGCAGUGCUCACAAGGCUGGCGACUCAUCUGCAGCAGGAACGUCACGGGGAUCUGAAGGCAAAUCACCCUCGGCUCUGCCAAGGUUUGUCCUGCUGUCUCUUAGCUUAGUGAGGACGUAAAACACUGCAAACAGCAAGAGCCUCACUGAAGGGAUCAAACUUCGGGGUCACUCAGGUAAUGGGAAGUGACUGUGCUCUGCUACAUUCACCUCUCUGUAGACUUGGCAGAGAAAAUGUGCCCUUCCAUUGGAAUGGUUUCAGGGAUUACAGUUAAGGAAAUAUUCAAAACACCCCAGCUGAUCAUGAAAGAAGCCACAGAGAUAGGGGUGAGUAAAAACUGUCCACUCAGGGGAAAAAAACUAUUCUUCAAGCAGUUUUACCUAUAUUGCAUAUUUCUGAUGUUCUGAAUAUGCCAUGAGUCAAGUGACGUUUUCUUUCAGAAGACAAUAAAAUUUCAAGGACUCUGAAGGGGAAAUCACACGGUUACUAUAAUGGUUUGGAACCAUCAUCUGAUCCAUUAUUUGCAUGUAAUUUCCCUUGGGAAUGUAAUAUAAUAAAAUUCCAUUAAAUGUGAUGGACAUGGAAAAUGUCCACAAAGA